rfam:Picea glauca, whole genome shotgun sequence.
GUAAUGGUGUCUUUAGACACCACCAUUUUUCUUUGAAUUUUUUUUU